GACAAUGUAGUCUAGUGGUGAAGGCACCAGGCUAGAAAGCAGGAGGCAGUGAGUUCAAGUCCUGCCUUAGCCA
rnacentral:tRNA from 1 species